UACGGAGGGGGCUAGCGUUGUUCGGAAUUAUUGGGCGUAAAGCGCACGUAGGCGGUUCGUUAAGUCGGAUGUGAAAGCCCUCGGCUCAACUGAGGAAGUGCACCCGAAACUGGCGAGCUUGAGUACGAAAGAGGAUCGCGGAAUUCCCGGUGUAGAGGUGAAAUUCGCAGAUAUCAGGAGGAACACCGGUGGCGAAGGCGGGUCUCUGGGCAGUAACUGACGCUGAGGAGCGAAAGCGUGGGGAGCGAACAGG
rnacentral:rRNA from 1 species